UGUAGAGAACGUGUCUGUAAAAAAAUUUGUUCAAUUUUUCUACUUAAUUCCGAGUUUUACUAGUUUAAUUUUGUUCAAAAAUUUGAGCUCUAGCUGCUCUAAGUUCAAUCUUUAGUUAUUUAAGUAAGUAGAAAAAAAAUGUGUAAAGUGGACGUAUCAUUGUGCUUGUCAAAUGUAUAUGCUUCCUUGAACUGAAAGUAAUUGUUGUUUACUUAUGCAAAUCAUGGAGUUGGAUUGUAUUUACAUUUUGUAAUAGUGCAUACAAUGUUGGCAAAAGUACAAACCUUAUAAGGAAUACCAAAUAUGAAAUAUGAUAAGAAUUUGGUUAACUUAGUUUUGUUAUUUUAGGUUCAAUUUGUU
rnacentral:lncRNA from 1 species